GACGAACGCUGGCGGCGUGCUUAACACAUGCAAGUCGAACGGAAAGGCCCUGCUUUUGUGGGGUGCUCGAGUGGCGAACGGGUGAGUAACACGUGAGUAACCUGCCCUUGGCUGUGGGAUAACUUCAGGAAACUGGGGCUAAUACCGGAUAGGAGCUCCUGCUGCAUGGUGGGGGUUGGAAAGUUUCGGCGGUUGUGGAUGGACUCGCGGCUUAUCAGCUUGUUGGUGGGGUGGUGGCUUACCAAGGCAUUGACGGGUAGCCGGCCUGAGAGGGUGACCGGCCACAUUGGGACUGAGGUACGGCCCAGACUCCUACGUGAGGCAGCAGUGGGGAAUAUUGCACAAUGGGCGGAAGCCUGAUGCAGCAACGCCGCGUGCGGGAUGACGGCCUUCGGGUUGUAAACCGCUUUCGCCUGUGACGAAGCGUGAGUGACGGUAAUGUGUAAAGAAGCACCGGCUAACUACGUG
rnacentral:rRNA from 1 species